rnacentral:rRNA from 1 species
AUAGCGUAUAUUAAAGUUGUUGCAGUUAAAAAGCUCGUAGUUGAACCUUGGGCCUGGCUGGCCGGUCCGCCUCACCGCGUGCACUGGUCCGGCCGGGCCUUUCCUUCUGGGGAGCUGCAUGCCCUUCACUGGGUGUGUCGGGGAACCAGGACUUUUACUUUGAAAAAAUUAGAGUGUUCAAAGCAGGCCUAUGCUCGAAUACAUUAGCAUGGAAUAAUAGAAUAGGACGUGCGGUUCUAUUUUGUUGGUUUCUAGAGCCGCCGUAAUGAUUAAUAGGGAUAGUCGGGGGCAUCAGUAUUCAAUUGUCAGAGGUGAAAUUCUUGGAUUGAUUGAAGACUAACUACUG